rnacentral:rRNA from 1 species
GUGAACGCUGGCGGUAGGCCUAACACAUGCACGUCGAACGGCAGCACAGUAAGAGCUUGCUCUUACGGGUGGCGAGUGGCGGACGGGUGAGGAAUACAUCGGAAUCUACUUUUUCGUGGGGGAUAACGUAGGGAAACUUACGCUAAUACCGCAUACGACCUACGGGUGAAAGCAGGGGAUCUUCGGACCUUGCGCGAUUGAAUGAGCCGAUGUCGGAUUAGCUAGUUGGCGGGGUAAAGGCCCACCAAGGCGACGAUCCGUAGCUGGUCUGAGAGGAUGAUCAGCCACACUGGAACUGAGACACGGUCCAGGCUUCUACGGGAGGCAGCAGUGGGGAAUAUUGGACAAUGGGCGCAAGCCUGAUCCAGCCAUACCGCGUGGGUGAAGAAGGCCUUCGGGUUGUAAAGCCCUUUUGUUGGGAAAGAAAAGCAGCAGGUUAAUACCCCGCUGUUCUGACGGUACCCAAAGAAUAAGCACCGGCUAACUUCGUG